CACAGGCAGAUCUCAUGAGCACCGUCUUUACAACCAACGCGUGGGAGCGCAGUUCACCGUUCCAGCCGAACAGCGCCGCGCAUACCGACAACGACUCGACGAUGGACGCCGGCAAGCUGAGCAGCGUUGGCUUGCCGUGUGGUCGUGGCAUAGACGAGGUUGCCGCUCAGAAUGGCCAGCCAUUCAGCCACUCCGCCGACGCUUUACCGGCAGCCAGGGGCCCCGUUGCCGAGACGGAUGUGAUGAUGGAUAGCGGCGUCGCCACCGUGGAGUGCGCUCUUGUGUUGGCCGAGAGCAACAAGUGCGGCGCCGUCGUUGUCGCACAUCCACCCGCCACCUUCCCCGGCCUCUACAAGGACGUGAAAUACUCGGUGCGCACCCUCUUCGCGCCGCCAAAGCCACCCAGUGAAAUGCCACCACGAGUGAAGCGGCAGCCGCGGCGCGGCCCGGUGUACGACAAUGACAUCGUCACGGCGGGCGAACGGCAGCAUCGCGCCCAGCGAGAGGUGAGUCGGAUGUGGCGAGGGGUGCUGUGCCGCCGCCGGCUUCGUCAGGCUCGCACGCUCGCCGAGGUGCUAAACAACCGCGCCCGGUGUAUCCAGUGCUGGUGGCGCAGUCUGCAGGCACGGUGGCGACUACGGCAGCUGCGCGCUAUUCGGAAAGAGUGGGCGAAGGAGUUGACGGCGCGCUACACUGCGGACCGAGUCGAGAACACCAAGAACAUCAUCUUCUGGCAGCACUGCCGUUACGAAGGCGCCGCAGUGCUCAUCCAGCGGGUGUUGCGGUGGCACCUGCGCGAAAAGCAGCGCUAUCUGUACCAAAUGGAGGGCGUGCCGGAGUCGGAGUGGCCGCCGGCGCUGGAGCGGCCUCCCACCCGCAAGCGCCGCCCGUGUUUCGCAUGGCGGUACCCGCGCCCCGCUGCAGAUGCAGGCGGUGAUGCACUGGCCGCCGACGAACUUUCCGGCACGGAUGAUGAUGCGCUGCACCAUCGCACCCUGUUGCAGUUCCGCAAGGUCAGGGACCCGGUUCCACCGCCUACGCAGACGGAAGUGGAGGCGAUCAACGCCAAGACACGAGAACGGAUCGCGCAGCGGGAGUCGGCGCUGGCGGCGCCAGAGGUCCUCUCUCGUGCUGAGUGGAAGACGGAGAACAUCCGCCACGAAGACCUCGACUUCAACGCUGGCGUGUUGCAGCGCCUGUACCGUAGCAAGCAGGCCACCAUCAAGGCCCGCACGAGGCAGCUGACGGGGGAGUACUUCGACAAGACCGCGCGCAUCAUCGCGCGGACGCUCCGCAUGCAAAUAUUUAUCAGGCGCAUGCGCAGGCACCGAGCGAGGGUGCAAAGCGAGGUGAAAGCUCGGAUGGCGCGGCACGAUGCCGAGAAGAUCGAGGCCCUGAAGGUCGAGGCUGUGUGGCAGCGCGAGCUGAUGGACGCGAGCGCGGCGUGCAUCCAGCGGUGCUAUCACUGGUACCGCUUUGAGCGCGAUGGCGUGGUUCCAGCCUCCUACGCGGCCAUCAACGUUGUGCCAACAGCGCCGCCGUACGGCUUGAUCAACGAGCACAUACAGCGGGAGCGGGCGAUGCGGUGGGAUUCCAUGAACUUGAUGGAGCAGCACGAGCUAGAGAAGCAGCGGCACCACAUGUACCUCCGCUACGUGCCGGCAAAGACGAUCGUGUGCAAGCGCACGGGCCGCUUUGCUACCGCGCCGCAGGCUGAGCUGUGAUGCGGCGUGCCGGAGCGAGAAGGUGCAGGGACACACGGAGGCACAUGCAAGCAUCCGUCUUGUAGCCCACAUGCGGGAGAAACGCCACUGCGGUCGUACUGUGUGUGUGUGUGUGUGUACGUCUGAGGAGUUGCCCAGCUUGGCUUCUCUCUUCUCUUCUAUGGAGACAACUUUUUUGUUGAUGUAUUGAAUCGAUCUAUGUUUUUUUUUUUUCGCUUCUGUUGUAUGUGUGUUCGGCCCCUUCCACGCCUCUCCCCUCCCGCUGCCCUCUGCCCUCACGGUCGCAGCCUGCGUUUGUUCACCGCUGUCGCUGUUCGGGUACCACCGUUUUUCCGGACACAUCAGCGCCCCACACACAUACACACGCACAGACACAACGCACAUCUUUUUUUUUUCUUUUCGCUCUCCUCACUUCCCUGCUUCCAUCAUCGGAAGCGAACGAAGAAGAACUCCUCCGAAAGUAUGUAAAGUACGCCCCAUCCGACAUGUGCACACAUGCGCAUGUAUACAUGUGCGUGCGUGUUGGUGUUGGGAUGUGUUGUCUUGCUGCGGCUUUUUGUACAUGUGCGUUUGUACUCUUCUUUCGUUUUAUUUUUUCCUGUAUCUCCCCGCAUUAACGUUGCUGCGAGUGAUGGCUGAAGACGGAUUUGGUCUAGCAUGUGCGUGAGCGUGCUCGCGAUGGCCGCGACGACAGUGACGACGCAAAGGGAGGGGAGUUGCGAGGCGGAAGGACACCUCCUCCUCCCUGUCAUCGUUUUAUUUUUCACUGCUACGCUUUUUCUCUCUGGGAUGCCCCCCCCUUAUCGCCCGCCCGCCCUCCUCCCCAGUGUCGCGUAGGGUGCAUGUUUUGUCCCCCCGGCUCUUUUCACUUCCGUGGAACUCUCUCAUGUACAUAUGUGUAUUGACAUGCGCGUGCGCGUGCGUGUGUCUGUCUGCCUCUGUGUGUGUGUGUGCCCGUGUUGGUAGCUUUCUGCCUGCUCUUUUCGCCCCCCCCCUCUCCCCACCAUCACCAUACGCACCGCUACACAGACAUGAGCACACGCUACGCGGUGUGAUGCGCCCCCCCCCCAUACACACACCAACACCACCCUUUUCCUGCCUCCCUUCCUGAUCACCGCACAUGGCACGUAUCCACCGCCUGUUCUCAUUUCUAAUUUUCGUCUCUGCAUGUGUGCGACGAUAUUGCAACGGAUCUG
rnacentral:misc_RNA from 1 species